rnacentral:rRNA from 1 species
GACGAACGCUGGCGGCGUGCCUAAUACAUGCAAGUCGAGCGGACGAAUCGAAAGCUUGCUUUUGAUUCGUUAGCGGCGGACGGGUGAGUAACACGUGGGCAACCUGCCCUGUAGACGGGGAUAACACCGAGAAAUCGGUGCUAAUACCGGAUAACACGAAAUGUCGCAUGACGUUUCGUUGAAAGACGGCGCAAGCUGCCGCUACAGGAUGGGCCCGCGGCGCAUUAGCUAGUUGGUGAGGUAACGGCUCACCAAGGCGACGAUACGUAGCCGACCUGAGAGGGUGAUCGGCCACACUGGGACUGAGACACGGCCCAGACUCCUACGGGAGGUAGCAGUAGGGAAUCUUCCGCAAUGGACGAAAGUCUGACGGAGCAACGCCGCGUGAGCGAAGAAGGCCUUCGGGUCGUAAAGCUCUGUUGUUAGGGAAGAACAAGUAACGCAGUAACUGGCGUUACCGUGACGGUACCUAACGAGAAAGCCACGGCUAACUACGUG